rnacentral:rRNA from 1 species
UUCGCAAUGCCCGAAAGGGUGACGAAGCGACGCCGCGUGAGCGAAGAAGGCCCUAGGGUUGUAAAGCUCUGUCGGGGGUUAUGAAAUGCAGGUUGGUUAAUACCCAACCCGUUUGACGAAGGCCCCAAAGGAAGCCACGGCUAACUCUGUGCCAGCAGCCGCGGUAAUACAGAGGUGGCAAGCGUUGUUCGGUAUUAUUGGGCGUAAAGAGCACGUAGGUGGUUUUGUAAGUCAGAUGUGAAAGCCUUCUGUUCAAAGGAAGAACGGCAUCUGAAACUGCAGAUCUUGAGUGUAGGAGGGGAGAGUGGAACUUCUGGUGGAGCGGUGAAAUGCGUAGAUAUCAGAAGGAACGUCGGCGGCGAAAGCGACUCUCUGGCCUAUUACUGACACUGAGUGUGCGAAAGUUAGGGGAGCAAACGGGAUUAGAUACCCCGGUAGUCCUAACUGUAAACGAUGGGCACUAAGUAGAGGGGUUUU